rnacentral:ncRNA from 2 species
CACCGCCCAUCACACCCUGGGAAUUGGUUUCGCCCGAAGCAUCGGACCAAUGAUCACCCAUGACUUCUGUGUACCACUAGUGCCACAAAGGCCUUUGGUGGUCUUAUUGGCGCAUACCACGGUGGGGUCUUCGACUGGGGUGAAGUCGUAACAAGGUAGCCGUAGGGGAACCUGUGGCUG